rnacentral:rRNA from 1 species
UACUCGAGUGGCGAACGGGUGAGUAACACGUGGGUGAUCUGCCCUGCACUUCGGGAUAAGCUUGGGAAACUGGGUCUAAUACCGGAUAGGAACCAUCUUUAGUGUGGUGGUUGGAAAGUUUUUUCGGUGUAGGAUGAGCUCGCGGCCUAUCAGCUUGUUGGUGGGGUAAUGGCCUACCAAGGCGGCGACUGGUAGCCGGCCUGAGAGGGUGUACGGCCACAUUGGGACUGAGAUACGGCCCAG